AGGAUUUGUUUUGUUUUUUGGUUUUAUUAAACACGAGAGACGUUACUGCGUAUACGUCGUAUCAUUAAGUUUAUCUUUUUAGUUUCGGGGCAUAGCUGGGGAACUAUGGGUUUUACUAUGUUGUGUGUGUUUUUUACAUUUGUAUUUUUUGUGUCUAUGAAAAACUUUUUAUUUACCAGACAACUUGCUCCGAACUAUAGACUAUAUCAUUUUUUUCUGAAAGGCAAUUUUCUCUCGCGUGUGCAUUGGGGAGGUCAUUUUGAUUAAAAUCAUAAUUAUUACAGCUUUUCAAUACUUGUGUAACAUGUGUCGAAUCGUUUUUCGUUAUCCAUAGAUAACGAUGGUUAUUGUUGAUCACAGGUAUAAAUUUAAAAAAUGUAUGUAUUCCACUUUCCCCACUACCCAUCUACAAUAAUGGCCACAUCCAUCCCC